UCAUCUGAGUGGUCAAAUACAACCUCAAGAGAAGCAGAAAAGAUUAGACAGGGAAGUGUGUGUACAGGGGUAUGUGUGCAUGUAUGUGUGAGCAUACAGGCUAUAGGUGUGUAUGUGUGUGUGUGUAUGUGUGUGUGUGUGUGAGUGAGUGAUAGAGAGUGGGGGCAGGCAGAUCUUCUGGCCUUGAGUCUCUUGCACACAUUUAGAUUCUGCGAGCUGCUCUGGUAUCCUUCCUUCCUUUCCAUUUAAACUAAUUACAGGAGGGUCAGCAGGGAUUCAGAAGGCAAGGGCUUGACUAAAAGGCUAAAAGACAUGCUGAGUCAAUGUUAAUUGCUCCUGCUAAUUUGUAUGCCAAGCUCUUCACCAGGACCUGAGGUUUGUCUACCGAGCCACAAACUGGGAAACCAAGUGGCCAAGGUGAAGCUUUUCUGCCAAGGACAGAUACCCCAGAAGAGGCUGAGUGACAUGUGGUCAUUCAAGGUUUCAAGCUACUCGGGUUUUCCAACCUCCACCAGGGCCUCCAGUCUCAUUGUAUCUCCUGGAGACAUUUGACCUCAGUCCUACCUCCAGUGGAACCUUC